GUGUUGUAGCUCAGUGAUAGAGUGCUUGCCUAGCAUGUAUGAGGCACUGGGUUUGAUUCUCAGCACUGCAUA
rnacentral:tRNA from 1 species